AGCGAACGCUGGCGGCAGGCCUAACACAUGCAAGUCGAACGGAUCCUUCGUGAUUAGUUGCGGACGUGUGAUGAACACGUGGUAACUUUCCCUUUUGUUCGGAACAACUCAUUUAAGCUUGAGCUAAUGCCGGAUGUGCCCUUCGGGGGAAAGAUUUAUCGCCAUUGGGGCGGCCCGCGUCUGAUUAGCUAGUUGGUGAGGUAACGGCCAACCAAGGCGACGAUCAGUAGCUGGUCUGAGAGGAUGCUCUGCCACACUGGGACUGAGACACGGCCCAGAACACUACGGGAGGGAGCAGAGGGGAAUCUAGCGCAAUGGGGGAAAGCAUGACGCAGCCACGCCGGGUGAAUGAUGAAGGUCUUAGGAUUGUACAAUUGUUUCAGCGGGGACGAUAAUGACGGUACCCGAAGAAGAAGCUCCGGCUAACUUCGUG
rnacentral:rRNA from 1 species